UUUUAGAGGGGAGGAAGGGAGAGAGAAACAUCGAUUUGUUGUUCCACUUAUUGACACUUUCAUUGGUUCACUCUUGUAUGUGCCCUCACCGGGGAUUGAACCCGCAAUCGUGACGUAUCUGGAUGGCGUUCCAACCAACCGUCCAGCUGCAAUGUUUAAAUCCUGGCGAAAGCUCUGGUAGGCGUGGUUUUCCUGGAUGACGUGCUCUUCCCUUGGACCAAUCACUGUGGCCCGGGGCAGGGAUGUAGGAUGAUUGGCAGCCCUGACUUGAAUAGCAGUGUUAGACUAGAGAGGGAGCAGCUGAUGCUCAAAACACGGAUCAGAGAGACACACACGGCCCCUGGGAAGGGCUGGGACCCCGCCCUGAUGUAUCACCUACAACAGACGUAGUACUCACGUUUUCACGGUUUUUCGUUAUUGGGGACAGGGACCAAACAGGCCCGUAGCGCCUCUGUGGACAACAAAAACUUAGUGAAUAUUGGCCGAUGUACAGCAAAAGAUUCUGGUGGUGGUUGUCAUUGUUUUCGUGGCAGAAGCCCCUAGUAGACGCCCCUACACUUGCCAUGAGCCUGCAGCUGUCCGUCCCGGGCGGCGUCACGAGGCUUGUCUCGGGGGUGGAGCCAGAGAGAACGUUGGUGGCCGAAUUACCACCCGCUGUUCCUCCGGAGAAAACCCGCUCAGCCCUGCCGUGUGAGUCAACCCUGGCUUUUUCCCUCGAACGGAAAAUGCCUCGAAGACUGGUGUUCCUAUUUGCGUUUCUGUGUUUAUUUUGGUAGAAGGCAGACCAGACAACUUGGUAAAACGCCGUCUCCCGUGGAUGGUCUCCGGCGCGUGGCCCUUUCCACAGAUGAGACACUCCUCUCUGAAAAGCUCAGAGGAGCCCCGUUAGGUGGAGUUACUGUGCUGCUUCCUUUGGUGGGGAAACUGAGGCCCGGCGCUGGUCAUGGGCCCAACCAAGGGCACAGAGCCGUGGGAAGCGGGGAGGAGGGUGGUGAGAUGUGUGUCGGUCCAGAGCCGUGUGCCAGAGGCUUGGAGGACGCCGAGUCAUUCCCUCCGCACAGUCAUCCGCUGAGCUCAGACUCAGACGACAGGCUGGGUGAAAUGCACACGCCUGCUCCAAGGUCAAAGACACAGGGAGGGCCGGGCUACGUUGAGUCCAAAGCCCAUACCGUUUUACUUCCUUAUACCGUGCAGACUCGGCACAGGUCACCUCGCCUCCGUGUGCCUCUGUUUCCUAAUCUGUAGAGUGGGGACAGCAAUGGAGCCCGCCCCGUGGGUUUGGUGCCAGGGUGAAGUGAAAUGACACCCGUGGGCGGCAAGAGCUCCGAAGGUGGACGCCGCGGUGGAGGUUGUUGACAUUAACACCGCGGGACCUCCCUCAGGUGUCACGAGGCAGGCCGCUCCCUGGUGCAGGAGAACCAGAUCUCGUGGGAGCCCCGGCCAGGCCCAGGUGCUCGGAGGCCCCGCGGCAGGUGCCUGGGAAAGUGCGCAAGGGGAAGAAAGGGAACAAAGGCUCCAGGUGCUCAGCUGGCGCUUUGUCUGGCUGAAAGCCUCGUUUCCUGGUUUCCUGCUCGAUCAGGUUGCUCUUGGCUGGCUGGGCUGGCGCAGCCCGCCCCUCCUCCCCGCCCCUGCAGCUGAGGGGGGAGGGCUGGGCUGGGGAUGCAGGGCAGGGCCCAGCUGGCCAAUGCCCUUUCUUUCUGGGGCCUAGCCUGGGGGGGUCUCAGUGAAUGAGACCCAAGCAGGAAGCCAUGGGGCCCUGGGUCCCCUUCCAGCCUAGGAGCCUCGGAAAAACACCCUCCCAGCCUCCCCCGUGGCGGGGUAGCCCUGGGAAUGAAGGUGGGGGCUCAGGGGCCAGGAUCAGAGACCUGGGCUUGAAUGCCAGCAGCGACAGAGUGACCUCGGCCCAGCUGCCUUUCUCUCCGAGUUCCGGUCUCCCUAGGGUGUAGCUCAGACGGCUGGGCUGGUUCACAGAUAAAGCUCCCCCGGGCCCUCGCAUGUUUCUGGGGCGCCCAGUGCCGCCUGUGGGAGGUGGCGCGGCAAACCCCGUGGAGGGUUAUCGCGGCACAACACGAGCUACAUCAUGUGGGCCCUCGGCUCACACCUGCUGCCGCCCCGCCCGCCGCCCUCUCCCUGCCACUCGCCUCCUGCAGUUCCUUGAACUGGAGUGUGUUCUGGCCUCAGGGCUUCUGCCCAUGUCUCCUGCCCGUGUCUCCUUGUUCUGGAACACCGUGUGCCCAGGCGUCGGCAUGAGCUGUCCCUGUCGCUCGCGUCUUAGUGCCUGGGCGUGACCUCCCCAGAGAAGUCUUGUCCGGGCCCCCUGAGCUGGCCCCUGCCUGGUGCCUCUCUGUCCACCUCACCCUGCUUCGUGUCAGAGAGGUACCCUGACCGGGGAUGGAACCCACAACCUUGGUGUAGCAGGACGACGCUCUAACCCACGGACCACCCAGCCAGGACCAGUUUCUUGUCUCUCUUUUCGUUGCCUGUCUCUCCACCGACAUCUAAGCUCUGUGCAAAGGGGCCUUGUCUGUCCUUCCUCCCGCUGUCUCCCCAGCCCCGGAGCAGGGCCUGGCGCUCGGGGGCUCUCGCUAAACCCCGCCCCCUUCCCGGAAGCGGCAGCGAUGAAAACUGCAGGAAAACGUAGACUCGGACGUGGACUGUCCCAUCACCACUUCCAUCAGUCAGGAUCAGCCAGGGUGUGCUGUGGUAACAAACACCCCUGAGCAUCUCAGUGGCUUCAGACAACAAAGACGUAUUUCUUGGCUCCAUUCCCACCGCGGCUGGCAAAGGCUCAGCUCCAGGCAGCCAGCACCUGAGUCAUCACGGCACCUCUGUCCUCUUAGGACACCACCUCCCCAACGUGAGGCUUGUGGGGGGUCACCAGUGCAAGGGGAGAAAGCAUGGGCCCCCCUAGGGUCACACGCCGCUCUCCCCUAGGUUUCACUGGCCAAAGGCAGUCACGUGGUUACACCUAAUUUCCAGAGCACGCGGACGCCCAGCCCGUCGUGUGCCCCGAGGGAAGGGAGCUGGAAACAUGGGCGAGCCCUGGGAACCUGCCGCCCGCCCCGAACAACCACCUGCCGCAGGCCCUUCUCCUCACCUGGAUCUGCACAGUAGCUUCACCGCAAUUCCAAAACAUAACACAGAUUUUGCAGUCAGGGAGAGCUAGGUUUGAAUCCAGUUUUAUAAAUAUAUCUAUCUA